UAAAUGAGGUGAUCCUUCAGCCACGCUCUAGCGAGAAUCUUCUAUUCACGCCAUAAAGAUUAAAAAUGACACUCUCCCGCCAAAUUAUGCAAUGACAUUUAACAAAUACUUCACCGGAGAAGUAAUCAAUUUGACCUGACCGAUUGACGGUGUGGUAUUGUUUAAUAAUCGGUCCGUGAUUUGAGAAGAUAAAUAUUUGAAUGAAACGUACCAUAGCAAAUAGCAGAAACGAAGUGGGAUAUGCGGCACUGACCGCAUUCUGUUUGUACGAUUAAUUAUUGAUUGGUUAAAAAGGCAUUGCGGCGCCUGUGGCGCUUAAUGAGGCAGUGUCCGGCUACCCCUAACAUCCCUACUUCGGGCGAAAUUCACCCCAACCUUGUCAACCUUCCAUGAAUCCGUAUACACAUAUUCGUGUGUGCACAGAUCAUACAACAUGUAUGUGGCAGCACAUAUUCAAAGUGAAUUGAGAUGGAGAUAAAUUAAUUAUUCAUGCAAUCGCAUUCAGACUAAAGAUUCGCAUCAUAUGGGAGUAUCAGCCCCUAGCCUGUUUAGAUUCCAUUAAUAAAGUCCUCCAGAUUAGAUAACCUCUAUUUACAACAUUUUGCCCAACUUAAAGAUGCGAGAUUCGAUGACAAACAGCCCUCUCUACAUGUUAAAUUUAAGUCAAAACACAAAGAAAAAAACCAUUCACUUCAACGUCGCGCUGCGGAAAUAGUAAUUCUCGUAUCUCGGGACCACUUUAUGAAAUUUACAAUUUCUAUGGGAGAAAGCUCGAAUUAAGAGAAGUUCAUUAGUGAUAAUCGCGGUUCGCACUUCGUUAAGCUUUUAAUUACACACACUCCAGCCGUUUAUUAAAAUAUUUAAUUUCAGUUUGGGGCUUCAAAUGGACACAUCAUCACUAUCAGACACGCAAUUUUGUCAGAUUAUGCAAAAAAGAUCCGCUGGUUCUUUACUCUGACCCCAAAUUCCUUCCUACCGUAACACAAGAGGUGAAUUUUAAUCAUUUUACCAACAAUAUUACUUUUUCUAUUUCUAUUUCGAGAUAGAGACAUUACAGCAAUGGCAGAAACUUUAUUAACUUUUUAGUACCUACCGUUCUUUAAUAAUGUUUUCGAACAAGUCAUCAUUAUUAUAUAUCAUUCUAAAGUAUGAAUAAUUAGUAGGUAGUUAUGAAGUCGUAACAAUAAAUUACGUCAAAUCAGUAAAGUGAUAAUGGAAAACGUGACCCUCCCAUAUUGAAGAAUUCUUAAGGAAUUCCUUACAUUCAAUAUUGUGUUUCAAAAUUAAAUAUGAUAUCAAACCUGGAAUUCCAUAAAUAAACACUUUUUCGAAUACCUGUUAUGGAAAGUCUAGACAUUUGGUGACAACUGGUGAACUUCGGCAAAGAAAGGAUCUUUGAAAUUUUUGAUGUGGCUUAUUGAUUUUAAUCUGACAGUGAUGAUAAUCUGACAGAGUAGCCGUUUUAGCGACUCACCCUGUAUAUUAACUGUCAUCGUCUGCAGGCGAGAAUAUGGUAAUAAAGAUGACCUAGCAGUUAUGUUAAUUCGGAAAGAUUUACAAUUUUUUAAAAUAAUAGCAAUGGUUCAUUAAGUCACAGUUAUCCAGUCAAUAAUGAUGAUAAAGUGUGUAUUAGAAUUAAUUUUCAAGGCGUGGCAACUUAUGUCAAACAAAGCUUUGUUUUAAUUGUAAUAAUUGGAUUCCCUUUUAUGAUAGUAUCAUUUAAAGAAUAUUUUAUUAAAUGUCAAAUUCUAAAUGUGUCUGGUUGGUCGUGAUCGUCUAUUAUAAAAUGAUAGCUUCUGUACAAAGUUUCAAAGUAGAUAAAUUAACUGGACUGCUGUAGCCGUCACGCCUCCUGCUAGCUAACUAAAAUCCUUGUCAACAGUUAGGAUAUUAACAUUAAACAAACGAGACACAAUUUUUUCAAGCGUGCGUUUGGUGAUUGAAAUAAAAGUUUACGGUAGCUUAAAAUACAUCAUCUGAAUGAGGCAGAAAAAAUGUUCUGCGGUGGUGAGUCCGAGAUUUGUUUAUUUCGAUCAGAGUAAAGUGUUUAAAGGAAUAUUUUUUAUUUUAUUUACAGUCAGUCAAGUGUUUGAAGGUGGUUUGUAUUAUUGUUCCAGUGCCUAAAUCUCGUGGGAGUUUGUGUUGUUAAAGAUAUCUGAACCGUGACCCAUCUGCUCCUCCCUAUUGCUCCUAUUAAUUUCUUAUCAGGCAUUGUCUUUGUUGUUCUUUUCCGGGUGUUUCCGUGCUUUUAUCAAUCAAACGUCGUAUUUGUCUCCUAAUUUAUCACCUCAACUAAAGUGCCCAUUUGCUGGAUUCCGUCCAUCGAAAUACUUAUCUUUCUAAGUAAAAUGUAUCGAUUUCGCGUGCUUUAGUUGAUUCGAGAAUCUCAACAGUGUAGCAUAUUUACUCAUAAGAUGUUUGUUUAUUUUUCGGAAAUCUGUGGAAACUCCUUAUUCAGAAUUGUAAACUUAGAUUCAAAGACAUGUUAUCUUUGUUAUUGUGGAACGCGGCACGAGCGAGAGAAGGGACGCUUUGAUCUCGUAUAAACUAUAGGUAACCCCAAACGUUCUGCAAAUAUACAAUGAUGAGUUGGUUUUUAUGACCGACGUGUAUAGCUUUGAAAAACUCUAAUACAAUUAUUUACCGAACUGUGAAACGUGAUGCAUGAAUGUAUGAUUUUUUCCGCAAAUCGCUGCAGGAAAAGAAGGAGAUUUUCUUGUUGGGCUAGGGAAACGAAGAUAAAUCAGUACAUACAUCUGACGAAUUUCACCUACCAUUAAAACCACGCCGGGGGUCACAAGCAAUCAUUCAAUAAAAGUGAAACAAGUGGCCGGGCGUUGCCGUUGCGUUGGGAGAAGUGAUUGUUUCGACACUCCAGUGGUUGAAGGGUCUUGUUAAGCAUAGCCUGGGGCGACAUCCGUGCUGUCAAACGGUAGUCGCUGAGAAACGUAUACAACAGCACGUGCCCGCCUUCUAUAGAGACACAUUUUUCUUUAUUGACUUUUUAUUUCUGGCGAAAUUCACUGCCUUUGUCAUCAGUUUCAUGCAGAGUUCUGAAGGAAAGAGCAUCACGAUAUUGAACGGCUGACCCUUAUUUAGGGAAAUUUUUCAAAAUGGACAUUUUUUGUCGUUUGAUCCUUUUCAAUAAAAGAGUGCUCGUACUUAUAAUGUAGUAAGUGAGUGGAAGAAGACAAAACAAGUCAUCUAGGAACAAAGGAAACUUCCCAGUUGCAAGAUGCUAAAUAAAUGGCAAUCACCGUUGUUUACGAUAGUUGCCAUUGUUGGAGUUGUAUUCAGUUCCCCAAAUUAAGGCAGAGUAGUAACCGUAUUUGCUGAGAGAUAGGUAGUAAAGUUGAGUUCUCAUUGUCGAAGUUGGGGAAUGUCGGUUGCAUGUUAAUCUCCUGAAAUGCUGUAAGUACCGCAUGAUUGUUCACUGACAUAAUUUACGCCUAGUAGUGGGAUUUGUUCAGAUCUAGUAAACCUUGUUUACUGCCGACGUCAUUUACAUUUCUACACGAAGAUUGCGGAUUUAACUAAUGAUGUUUUCUCUUCAUUAUCGAUACCUAGUCAAGACCUCUGUCAUUCUCAUUACAAAUAUACUUAUUUUUAAAACCUUCGUUAAUUAACGUUCCACAUCUAUUCCUUAAUUACGGCCGCUUUAGCUCCAGAUUCCUUCGCCUAGAAACAUUAUAUGUUUUAAUUUUGGGAGACUCUUUUAGACAUUACUGAUCAAUAUAGUCCCCUAUUAGCGCACC